GAGCCAGGUGGAGGAGAAGAAAGAGCAGGUUGAGUUGCAGUGCUGCAAUGUGGACAUCAGAGACCCUGAGGGAAAGAAGAAUCCAUCCAAUCCCCCUCAGGAGCCAUUUCUCAGGAGGAUCCCUUGGGAAGAUCCAAGUCGGGACACCUCAGGAGAGAAACAAGGAGUGAAGUUUUCGGGUUUUUAUGAUGGAGCUCAAACAGUUGUGGAACCUCCAAAUCAAGAGAGUCUUGUGUCCUUCGAGGAGGUGGCUGUGUAUUUCUCUGAGGAGGAAUGGUCUCAACUGCAUCCUGACCAAAAAGUACUCCAUUCUGAAGUCAUGCUUGAAAAUCAU